rnacentral:tRNA from 1 species
GUGGCUCAGUGGUAGAGCGCUUGCCUCACAUGCGUGAGGCCCUGGGUUCGAUUCCUCAGC